CCCAGACUCCUACGGGAGGCAGCAGUGGGGAAUAUUGCACAAUAGGGGAAACCCUGAUGCAGCGACGCCGCGUGAGCGAUGAAGUAUUUCGGUAUGUAAAGCUCUAUCAGCAGGGAAGAAGAUGACGGUACCUGACUAAGAAGCCCCGGCUAACUACGUGCCAGCAGCCGCGGUAAUACGUAGGGGGCAAGCGUUAUCCGGAUUUACUGGGCGUAAAGGGAGCGUAGACGGCUGUGCAAGUCUGAAGUGAAAGCCCGUGGCUCAACCCCGGGACUGCUCUUGGAACUGCAUGGCUGGAGUACAGGAGGGGCAGGCGGAAUUCCUAGUGUAGCGGUGAAAUGCGUAGAUAUUAGGAGGAACACCGGUGGCGAAGGCGGCCUGCUGGACUGUGACUGACGUUGAGGCCCGAAGGCGUGGGGAGCAAACAGGAUUAGAUACCCCCGUAA
rnacentral:rRNA from 1 species